rnacentral:rRNA from 1 species
AACGACUGCUAAGACUGGAUAGGAAACAAAAAGGCAUCUUUUUGUUUUUAAAAGACCUUCUUAGAAAGGUAUGCUUAAAGAGGGGCUUGCGCCACAUUAGUUAGUUGGUAGAGUAAAAGCCUACCAAGACGAUGAUGUGUAGCUGGACUGAGAGGUUGAACAGCCACAUUGGGACUGAGACACGGCCCAAACUCCUACGGGAGGCAGCAGUAGGGAAUUUUCGGCAAUGGAGGAAACUCUGACCGAGCAACGCCGCGUGAACGAUGAAGUAUUUCGGUAUGUAAAGUUCUUUUAUUGAAGAAGAAAAAGUAGUGGAAAAACUAUAUUGACGUUAUUCAAUGAAUAAGCCCCGGCUAACUAUGUGCCAGCAGCCGCGGUAAGACAUAGGGGGCGAGCGUUAUCCGGAAUUAUUGGGCGUAAAGGGUGCGUAGGCUGUUAGAUAAGUCUAUAAUUUAAUUUCAGUGCUUAACGCUGUCUUGUUAUAGAAACUGUCUUGACUAGAGUGAGAUAGAGGCAAGCGGAAUUCCAUGUGUAGCGGUAAAAUGUGUAAAUAUAUGGAGGAACACCAGAAGCGUAGGCGGCUUGCUGGGUCUUUACUGACGCUGAGGCACGAAAGCGUGGGUAGCAAACAGGAUUAGAUACCCUGGUAGUCCACGCCGUAAACGAUGAGUACUAAGUGUCGGGGUAAAACUCGGUACUGAAGUUAACACAUUAAGUACUCCGCCUGAGUAGUACGUACGCAAGUAUGAAACUUAAAGGAAUUGACGGGACUCCGCACAAGCGGUGGAUCAUGUUGUUUAAUUCGAAGAUACACGAAAAAUCUUACCAGGUCUUGACAUACUCUGCAAAGCUAUAGAAAUAUAGUGGAGGUUAUCAGGAAUACAGGUGGUGCAUGGUUGUCGUCAGUUCGUGUCGUGAGAUGUUAGGUUAAGUCCUAAAACGAGCGCAACCCUUGUCGUUAAUUGCCAGCACGUAAUGGUGGGGACUUUAACAAGACUGCCAAUUAAACAUUGGAGGAAGGUGAGGAUUACGUCAAAUCAUCAUGCCCCUUAUGAUCUGGGCUACAAACGUGAUACAAUGGCUGUGACAAAGAGUAGCUGAAACGCGAGUUUUUAGCCAAUCUCAAAAAAGCAGUCUCAGUUCGGAUUGAAGUCUGUAACUCGACUUCAUGAAGUUGGAAUCGCUAGUAAUCGCGAAUCAGCAUGUCGCGGUGAAUACGUUCUCGGGGUUUGUACACGCCGCC